UGUAGCUGGAAGCAUCCUUGGUGAGGGGACCUAGGCUGGAUUGCAGGUUCUAGGUAUUUGCCCCACUUCCUGUUGGGGUGGAAGAGAAGGGACAAAACAUCCUCCAUUGCUGUCCAGGAUAGCUCAGAGCAGCUGGCUCUUCCACUUUUUCUCAUGUUCCUGCAGGACCAACGCUGACCAGCUUUCCCCUCCAUAUUUGGAUGCUCAGCAUCUCCCUCAUUUCCAGAGUCCCACAGAGCGCUGGGGCUGGCGGCAUCAGGCCUUUUUUUAUUCUCAAGUCUGAGUCAGGGAUUGUUUUCCUCAAACUUGCAUAGCCAUUGAGCCACACUGAGUCUGUUCUGGAACUCAGAUCCCAUCCUCCUUGAGACAGAGCAGGGAGGGGCAGACGCAAGCCCAGAAAAAACAAUUUCCUUCACGCAGGUGAGAGGUGAGAAUUCCACUGCUGUCAACAAAACAAACCAGAAAAGCUGUGAAAAAUGGUAUGGAGGGAUAUAAAAGCUCCCAGGGUUUGAAGUAGGAGAGGGAGUAACUCAUGUCCACCAUGCCAGCCUGCUGUCUCCUGCCCAGCUGCCUGCCCAGAAAGUUAAGUUCUAGAUCAGACCAAGACCUGAAGUCUCCCACCUCCACGCAGUAGGAUUGGAACCUACAGCCGUCAUCCAUGCUUGCUCCCUCCUCCCCAUCUGCCGUCAAUCACAGCAGUUCCUCAGACCCCUGAC
rnacentral:lncRNA from 1 species